rnacentral:rRNA from 1 species
UACGAAGGGGCUAGCGUUGUUCGGAAUUACUGGGCGUAAAGCGCGCGCAGGUGGUCUUUCAAGUCAGUGGUAGAACGCCGAGCUCAACUCCGGAAAUGCCAUUGAAACUGUAAGACUUGAGGAUGAGAGAGGUGAGUGGAAUUCCCAGUGUAGAGGUGAAAUUCGUAGAUAUUGGGAAGAACACCGGUGGCGAAGGCGGCUCACUGGCUCAUAUCUGACGCUCAGGCGCGACAGCGUGGGGAUCAAACAGG